rnacentral:rRNA from 1 species
UGGGGAAUAUUGCACAAUGGGCGAAAGCCUGAUGCAGCAACGCCGCGUGAGGGACGACGGCCUUCGGGUUGUAACCUCUUUUAGCAAGGAAGAAGCGAAAGUGACGGUACUUGCAGAAAAAGCGCCGGCUAACUACGUGCCAGCAGCCGCGGUAAUACGUAGGGCGCAAGCGUUAUCCGGAAUUAUUGGGCGUAAAGAGCUCGUAGGCGGUUUGUCGCGUCUGCUGUGAAAACCCGAGGCUCAACCUCGGGCCUGCAGUGGGUACGGGCAGACUAGAGUGCGGUAGGGGGAGAUUGGAACUCCUGGUGUAGCGGUGGAAUGCGCAGAUAUCAGGAAGAACACCGAUGGCGAAGGCAGAUCUCUGGGCCGUAACUGACGCUGAGGAGCGAAAGGGUGGGGAGCAAAACAGGCUUAGAUACCCUGGUAGUCCACCCCGUAAACGUUGGGAACUAAGUUGUGGGGUCCAUUCCACGGAUUCCGUGACGCAGCUAACGCAUUAAGUUCCCCGCCUGGGGAGUACGGCCGCAAGGCUAAAAACUUAAAUG